AGAGGAGGCUCGCGGCUGUGGAUCCGGCGGCUCUAGCCCUGGCAGCGGAAAAGAAGCCGCGCAGGCGCUCAGCGCACCUCCAGGUCUCUAGGUCCCGAGCCGCCUUAAAGGCUUGCGGCCGCGGUUGCUUCACAACGAGCGUGGGCGGGGCCAAAGCUGAGCAGGGGAAGGGCCGGCCGGCCCGCCCCUCCCACGCCACCAGCGUAACGUCAGAAAGUUCCGCGGUGGUGUGAGGUGUCACGUCGUAGCGUGAGAUUCUUCCGCCACUGGGGGCCCGGUGGGCGGAGUCUCAAGUGCCCAAAAAAAAAUCCCUAGGACAGGAAAUGAUCUAGUACAGGUGACUAGACGUGGGAUUUUUUUAAAAGUAUUGAUGAGCUUUAAAAUGAAUAGCUUGAGCGCAUUUGCGUUCUAACCAACGUGCCCAAUCUUUUUUUUUUCUUGGUUUUUUCAAGACAGGGUUUCUCUGGUUUUGGAGGCUGUCCUGAAACUAGCUCUGGUAGACCGGGUGGAUCUCUGUGAGUUCGAUGCCAGCCUGGUCUCCACAGUGAGUGCCAGGAUAGGCUCAAAAGCUACACAGAGAAACCCUGUCUUGAAAAACUAAAAAAAAAAAAAAAUCAGAAUUAGGGCUGGAGAAAUGGCUUAGUGGUUGAAUGCUUAUUGCUCUUCCAGAGACCCUGAGUUCUGUUCUACACUGGGCAGUAGACAACUAAUUGCCUGUACUUCCUGCAACUCCAGCUUCAGGCUGUCCCACAUUAUCUUCUGGACUCUCUUGGCACUCGAACGCAUGUGUCACAUAUUUAUUCAGAAACAUACAUACACAUAAAAUUAUUUUUUUAGAUUAUGAAUUUAGGCAUAAGCCAUAAAUCACUGUUUGGUACCUCUAGAGUUAGGAGAAAGAAUAAGCCAGUUGACUAUGUAUGCUAACAUUUCAGUCUUGAGGGCUGUAGAGAUGGCUCAGUGGUUAAAACUAUGUUCUUUCAAGACAGGUUUCUCUGUGGCUUUGGAGGCUGUCCUGAAACUAGCUCUUGUAGGCCAGGCUGGUCUUGAACUCACAGAGAUCCUCUGCCUCUGCCUCCCGAGUGCUGGGAUUAAAGGCAUGUGCCACCACCAAUACCGGCUCUGGGUUCAAUUCUUAUUGCCUAUGUCAGGCAGCUCAUGACUGCUUGUAACUCAAGCUCCAGGGAAUUGAACACCUCUGGCUUCCAGUGGUAUUCACAAACAUGGCAUCCACUCACACAGGCACACAUAUACAUGAUUAAAAAUAAAACAAGAAAAAGAAACUUCAUUGAUAUAGG
rnacentral:lncRNA from 1 species